UGGAGGCAGUGUGGUUUAAUUACGUAAGCAACGCGAAGAACCUUACCAGGCCUUGACAUGCAGAGAACUUUCCAGAGAUGGAUUGGUGCCUUCGGGAACUCUGACACAGGUGCUGCAUGGCUGCCGUCAGCUCGUGUCGUGAGAUGUUGGGUUAAGUCCCGUAACGAGCGCAACCCUUGUCCUUAGUUACCAGCACGUUAUGGUGGGCACUCUAAGGAGACUGCCGGUGACAAACCGGAGGAAGGUGGGGAUGACGUCAAGUCAUCAUGGCCCUUACGGCCUGGGCUACACACGUGCUACAAUGGUCGGUCAAAAGGGUUGCCAAGCCGCGAGGUGGAGCUAAUCCCAUAAAACCGAUCGUAGUCCGGAUCGCAGUCUGCAACUCGACUGCGUGAAGUCGGAAUCGCUAGUAAUCGUGAAUCAGAAUGUCACGGUGAAUACGUUCCCGGGCUUU
rnacentral:rRNA from 1 species